UACGAAGGGGGCUAGCGUUGUUCGGAAUUACUGGGCGUAAAGCGCACGUAGGCGGGUCGUUAAGUCAGGGGUGAAAUCCCGGAGCUCAACUCCGGAACUGCCUUUGAUACUGGCGAUCUUGAGAUCGGAAGAGGUGAGUGGAAUUCCCAGUGUAGAGGUGGAAUUCGUAGAUAUUAGGAAGAACACCAGUGGCGAAGGCGGCUCACUGGUCCGGUACUGACGCUGAGGUGCGAAAGCGUGGGGAGCAAACAGG
rnacentral:rRNA from 1 species